AACCUCCGCAAUGUGAGAAAUCGCGACGGGGGGAUCCCAAGUGCCAUUCUUAACGGGAUGGCUUUUCAUUAGUGUAAAGAGCUUUUGGAAUAAGGGCUGGGCAAGACCGGUGCCAGCCGCCGCGGUAACACCGGCAGCUCUAGUGGUAGCAGUUUUUAUUGGGCCUAAAGCGUCCGUAGCCGGUUUAAUAAGUCUCUGGUGAAAUCCUGUAGCUUAACUGUGGGAAUUGCUGGAGAUACUAUUAGACUUGAGACCGGGAGAGGUUAGAGGUACUCCCAGGGUAGAGGUGAAAUUCUGUAAUCCUGGGAGGACCGCCUGUUGCGAAGGCGUCUAACUGGAACGGUUCUGACGGUGAGGGACGAAAGUUAGGGGCGCGAACCGGAUUAGAUACCCGGGUAGUCCUAACUGUAACGAUGCGGACUUGGUGUUGGGGUGGCUUUGAGCUGCUCCAGUGCCGAAGGGAAGCUGUUAGUCCGCCGCCUGGGAAGUACGGUCGCAAGACUGAAACUUAAAGGAAUU
rnacentral:rRNA from 1 species